UGGGGAAUAUUGCACAAUGGGCGCAAGCCUGAUGCAGCCAUGCCGCGUGUAUGAAGAAGGCCUUCGGGUUGUAAAGUACUUUCAGCGGGGAGGAAGGGAGUAAAGUUACUACCUUUGCUCAUUGACGUUACCCGCAGAAGAAGCACCGGCUAACUCCGUGCCAGCAGCCGCGGUAAUACGGAGGGUGCAAGCGUUAAUCGGAAUUACUGGGCGUAAAGCGCACGCAGGCGGUUUGUUAAGUCAGAUGUGAAAUCCCCGGGCUCAACCUGGGAACUGCAUCUGAUACUGGCAAGCUUGAGUCUCGUAGAGGGGGGUAGAAUUCCAGGUGUAGCGGUGAAAUGCGUAGAGAUCUGGAGGAAUACCGGUGGCGAAGGCGGCCCCCUGGACGAAGACUGACGCUCAGGUGCGAAAGCGUGGGGAGCAAACAGG
rnacentral:rRNA from 1 species